AUUUCUUCAUGGAGAAAAAAAAUCUAUGAAAUAGAUUCUGCAUUAUAACUGCCAUAAGAAUAGACAACCUAUGAGCUGACCCCUGCAAUUUCCCCAAAUGCGGGAAACACUCGACUGCAUAAUUUGUGGUAGUGGGGGACUGCGUUCGCGUUCUCCCCUG